AUUGAACGCUGGCGGCAUGCCUUACACAUGCAAGUCGAACGGUAACGCGGGGCAACCUGGCGACGAGUGGCGAACGGGUGAGUAAUAUAUCGGAACGUGCCCAAUAGUGGGGGAUAGCCCGGCGAAAGCCGGAUUAAUACCGCAUACGACCUGAGGGUGAAAGCGGGGGAUCGCAAGACCUCGCGCUAUUGGAGCGGCCGAUAUCAGAUUAGGUAGUUGGUGGGGUAAAGGCCUACCAAGCCUACGAUCUGUAGCUGGUCUGAGAGGACGACCAGCCACACUGGGACUGAGACACGGCCCAGACUCCUACGGGAGGCAGCAGUGGGGAAUUUUGGACAAUGGGCGCAAGCCUGAUCCAGCCAUGCCGCGUGCGGGAAGAAGGCCUCGGUUGUAACCGCUUUGUCAGGGAAGAAAGUACUUCUGGGUUAA
rnacentral:rRNA from 1 species